UUGGACCACAAAGUACGGCUCACAUGUCAUAUCUGCCAGCGCAAGUGUAGGGAACGAUAUACACAUAGAAAGCUGUUCAUCAUUGCGGGUUCUCCGAAGGCUUGCAGCGAAGAGAAACGUAAUGCUUCGGCCUUCAGGCACGACCAGACACCUUGUGGCGUUGUGGGUGCGACUGGCAGGCGCCAUUGGCAGCACAGCUGGCGAUAGUUAUGAUCCUCCCUCCCAAUAACGGAGUCAAUUUAUUCACCGGCCACCUCCAAGGAGAACACUAGCUGGACCACUCUUGGAUGCCGAGCUAUGGAUACGACCGGCUCAUGCUAUGGCCGAACUCGGCAGCACGUCCCAGCUUGUGCCGAAGCUUUCCGCUCUGGAUGAAUACUGCAGGGCACACGUCGCACUUGUACGGCUUUUCACCCUUGUGUGUCCACUUGCGAUUCUGUAGGUCCUCAUUUUGGCUGAACUCCGCAGGGCAGAUAUUGCACUUGUAUGGCUUCUCGCCCGUGUGUGUCUGCGUGUGAUGCUGUACAUUUAUGCUCUCGCUGAACUC